AUCCCUUGUCAUGAGAUGACUAGUGGAUUUUACUUUUACAUUCUCCUCUUCAUGUACUGCAAUGGUAGCUAGAUUCAUUUAUAGUCAAUGUGCUUUCAGGUGUUAAUAAAUAUUGCUUUCCAUACAGGUGGAUGAAGGUUGAGAAUCAUUCUCAGUUUCUUAAUUAGGCGGUCAUUUUCUAGGUGGCUAUUGCCAACAACAUAAGAUGGGGAAAUUCUGUAUUCAUUUAUUCAGUAGGUUGUUUAUAAAAUACUGGAUAGUGCUUCUGAGUAAUUGAAGGUGUUCGAACUUUUUAUUGCUAAGCCUACGAGGGAAAUUGUGUUUUUGAGAGGAUCAUUUAUUGGCCUUUUUUUUUAAAUAAAAUAUAUUAGGACAUGUUUCGGUAUGUUCUCCGGAUCUCUCUUUCUCCUCAUCUAAUAAACUAUAUUAUGUAACAAGGUUAUUACUGAAUCAAAAGGGAAAUGAAGUAACCUAUCAUGGAAAGAUCUAACUUUCCUUUCGGGUCAAUAGCCCACAAGCUACCCAAAAUUGUAGUUUUGCUCUUCAAAUUUCACAAGGAGGUGUGAUUCACGACUUUUUAAGUAACUGACUCUAAUUUCAUUAUUGUUCACUAAGUUUGCAUAUUAUUGAUGAACUUUAUCUUUUACUUUUCUCUCUUUUGCUUAUUUAUUGAAAAACUCUAUAUUCACAACUCUGCACGCAAAUACAACACAGAUUUUCUAACUCUAAAAUAUUAAUUCUAAACUUCAUAACUCAAACUCAAUUUUGUGUUUUAAACACCCUCUUAAAAGACAGACAGUGAAAUUGUGGAGUCUGAAGAGUCGUAAAUUUUUGGACUACAACGUUGCAAAAAGUCAAUAAGAAUAAAAUUAGCGUUCUUUUAUUUGUGAGACCUACAAAGUACAAACUUCUUGAAUUAAACUUUGACGUAGAGUCCACAACUCAACUUUUCCUUAGCUCUAGCCACAAGCCAAAAUUUUAGGUCAGUAGCUUUAUUUUUAAAAACAGUAUUAAAGUUAUGUUUGGGUUAUUAGUGUUUCUUAGAAUUCUAAUUUGCUGUUAAACAGAUUCCUAGAACCCUGUUUGUUAAAUCCUUUGUUCACCCCCGCAUUUAUGUUUUUGGAUUACCAACCAACUGCAUCCUUCCAUACCUAACAGUAUACAUAAAAGGGGAGAAAGGGGCUUUUAGUUGCUAAACGACACAAGGAAUUCACGUGGAGGGAGGAAAGGCAAAGGGCUAUUGAAAUUGAAGAAGCGCUCUGCCCUCAACGUUAAGCUGAAGCCCUUUGCAUUGAAUGAACUUCUGCUGCAUGUGUCAGUUUCUAAUACACCAAUACUUCCUUUAAAA